AGAGUUUGAUCAUGGCUCAGAGCGAACGCUGGCGGCAGGCUUAACACAUGCAAGUCGAACGGACGCAGCAAUGCGUCAGUGGCAGACGGGUGAGUAACACGUGGGAACGUGCCCUUCGGUUCGGAACAACCCAGGGAAACUUGGGCUAAUACCGGAUACGUCCGCAAGGAGAAAGAUUUAUCGCCGAAGGAUCGGCCCGCGUCUGAUUAGCUUGUUGGUGAGGUAACGGCUCACCAAGGCGACGAUCAGUAGCUGGUCUGAGAGGAUGAUCAGCCACACUGGGACUGAGACACGGCCCAGACUCCUACGGGAGGCAGCAGUGGGGAAUAUUGGACAAUGGGCGCAAGCCUGAUCCAGCCAUGCCGCGUGGGUGAUGAAGGCCUUAGGGUUGUAAAGCCCUUUCGGCGGGGAAGAUAAUGACGGUACCCGCAGAAGAAGCCCCGGCUAACUUCGUGCCAGCAGCCGCGGUAAUACGAAGGGGGUUAGCGUUGCUCGGAAUCACUGGGCGUAAAGCGCACGUAGGCGGAUUGCUAAGUCAGGGGUGAAAUCCUGGAGCUCAACUCCAGAACUGCCCUUGAUACUGGCGACCUUGAGUCCGGGAGAGGUGAGUGGAACUGCGAGUGUAGAGGUGAAAUUCGUAGAUAUUCGCAAGAACACCAGUGGCGAAGGCGGCUCACUGGCCCGGUACUGACGCUGAGGUGCGAAAGCGUGGGGAGCAAACAGGAUUAGAUACCCUAGUAGUCC
rnacentral:rRNA from 1 species